AUUGAACGCUGGCGGCAUGCUUUACACAUGCAAGUCGAGCGGCAGCGCGGGGGCAACCCUGGCGGCGAGCGGCGAACGGGUGAGUAAUGCAUCGGAACGUAUCCUCGAGUGGGGGAUAACCCAGCGAAAGUUGGGCUAAUACCGUAUGAGCUCUGAGGAGGAAAGCGGGGGACCUGCGAGGGCCUCGCGCUGGAGGAGCGGCCGAUGUCCGAUUAGCUAGUUGGUGGGGUAAAGGCUUACCAAGGCGACGAUCGGUAGCUGGUCUGAGAGGAUGAUCAGCCACACUGGGACUGAGACACGGCCCAGACUCCUACGGGAGGCAGCAGUGGGGAAUUUUGGACAAUGGGGGCAACCCUGAUCCAGCCAUGCCGCGUGAGUGAAGAAGGCCUUCGGGUUGUAAAGCUCUUUCGGACGGAACGAAAUGGGCGGGACUAAUACUCCUGUCUGAUGACGGUACCGUAAGAAGAAGCACCGGCUAACUACGUG
rnacentral:rRNA from 1 species